ACGGAGACAUGCUGCAAUAGGGGAUUAAUUAAAUGGCAUAGGAUGGAUACUUCAGCUUAGUGUUGCGAACACAACUUUUAGACCGAAGGAUUUUGUUUCACUUCGUGAUUUUCUUCUUUCGGAGGAGAGCACUUCAACCCCUCGAAGUAAGGUUCUCCUGCUUUACAAAACCCUGUUUCUCCAAUAGCUGUGAAUCCGUAAUUUGCCGAGAGUGACCACCUUGAGACCAUCCAAAUGGAGUCUGGAAAUGACUCAUGUAAAGUAGUAACACAGGAGAAAUAUGUUGCAUACAAGGUUUUUCACACAUACUCCUGAUCAAGGCCCUGCUCCUAUGUAAUACCCAGCUUUAGAGUAUGAUUUUUAAGUUAACUCUCACGGCAGAUAAUAUAUUUGGACUUCUACCAUAAGAGCAGGAUAUGCAUACGUCCUCAACUUUGUGCAAAUGUGGAGCGCUACGUAAACAACGUCGUCAGCGUUUGAAAUGUUAUCGAAUGAAGUUAUCACAGCGAGAGUUAUAAACUUGUGGUACUGCUCUGUAGCUAACCGUGGUUCACGAAUUGCAUGCAACAGUGGGCAUUGCAACUGGCAAUCUACAUCAACUUUUGACUUCAAGUGGAAGAUGAGCUCACGAAUGCAACUGAAGAAAGACGUACCACGGAGUCGCAUGUUUUCUUAUGCAAAGUACGUUUCGAAUCUGGGACUUGUACUAAAAUCCUCUUCCGGCAAAUGUGAUGUUAGCUUCUUUUAGCCACUGGUAUAACAGAAUGUGUCCAAGUUUGGGUGCCCCUCUUUCUAGUACUUUUGUUGAUCUGCAUCCCUUUGUCAACCGGUUGCACUUGGCCAUGAACGUCGUUGUACUCAUUUUUGCCCUACAAAAGUGAAUCCAAGAUGAUAGUUUAGU
rnacentral:lncRNA from 1 species